ACUUUACCAUGCGGGCAACCGUGAUAAGGAAACCCCGAGUGCCAGCACAGGCUGGCUGUCCGCCAGUGUAAAUAACUGGUGAAGAAAGGGCCGGGCAAGACCGGUGCCAGCCGCCGCGGUAAUACCGGCGGCUCGAGUGGUGGCCACUAUUACUGGGCCUAAAGGGUCCGUAGCUUGAUAUGCAAGUCUCUUGAGAAAUCCGCCAGCUUGACUGGUGGGCGUUCAGGGGAGACUGCAUUGCUAGGGACCGGGAGAGGUGAGAGGUACUGCCGGGGUAGGGGUGAAAUCCUGUAAUCCCGGUGGGACCACCGAUGGUGAAGGCAUCUCACCAGAACGGGUCCGACAGUGAGGGACGAAAGCUGGGGGAGCAAACCGG
rnacentral:rRNA from 1 species